rnacentral:rRNA from 1 species
GAUGAACGCUGGCGGCGUGCCUAAUACAUGCAAGUCGAGCGAACAGACGAGGAGCUUGCUCCUCUGACGUUAGCGGCGGACGGGUGAGUAACACGUGGAUAACCUACCUAUAAGACUGGGAUAACUUCGGGAAACCGGAGCUAAUACCGGAUAAUAUAUUGAACCGCAUGGUUCAAUAGUGAAAGACGGCUUUUCUUUCACUUAUCGCUGCAUACGCGCCGCAUGAGCUAGUUGGUAAGGUAACGGCUUACCAAGGCGACGAUGCGUAGCCGACCUGAGGGGGUGAUCGGCCACACUGGAACUGGGACACGGUCCCGAACCCUACGGGAGGCAGCAGUAGGGAAUCUUCCGCAAUGGGCGAAAGCCUGACGGAGCAACGCGGCGUGAGUGAUGAAAGUCUUCGGAUCGUAAAACUCUGUUAUUAGGGAAGAACAAAUGUGUAAGUAACUAUGCACGUCUUGACGGUACCUAAUCAGAAAGCCACGGCUAACUACGUG